rnacentral:lncRNA from 1 species
GUUUCUUCCCUCUCUCUUUUUAGUGUAUUUUCUACUGCUAGAACCGGGCGAGCGCGCGGCGGAGCACCUGGGCGAGGAGGCUGGGGGCGCUGAGGUGGGGGAGGUGGCCCUCCGUCGGCAGGGGCUCGAUGGUGGUGCGGCCGCCGAGGUGGGCCUUGAGGUACGCGGCGACGGAGGCCGGCACGGAGACGUCGCGGGUGGUCUGCACGACGACGCACGGCGCCUGCACCAUGCCCAGCACGCCGCGGAGGUCGGUCUUGAACACGCUCUGGCAGACGUGGAGCGAGAUGUCCGGCCGCAUGUUGAACAGCGUCCGGCUGAACUCCUGCACCGCCGCCGGCACGUCCGCGCCCACCGCCAGCGGCGCGUACCCCGUCGCCCACGCCGCGUAGUUGGCCGACAUCGCGUCGAACACCUGCUGGAUCUGCUCCAGCUCGAACCCGCCGUGGUAGUCGCUGUCGUUCAAGAACCUGCUCGAUCGAUCGAUCGAUGGAUGGAUUGCUCCGGUCAGUUGGUUUGCCGGCGAGGCGCCGCGUGCAAGGGAAGGAAG